rnacentral:rRNA from 1 species
UACGUAGGGUGCAAGCGUUGUCCGGAAUUAUUGGGCGUAAAGAGCUCGUAGGCGGUCUGUUGCGUCUGCUGUGAAAACCCGGGGCUUAACCCCUGACUUGCAGUGGAUACGGACAGACUAGAGGUAGGUAGGGGAGAAUGGAAUUCCCGGUGUAGCGGUGAAAUGCGCAGAUAUCGGGAGGAACACCGGUGGCGAAGGCGGUUCUCUGGGCCUUUCCUGACGCUGAGGAGCGAAAGCGUGGGGAGCGAACAGG